rnacentral:lncRNA from 1 species
AACAACAUAAAGAAACUACCCAAUCAUUUCCUUUUAGACAAAGAAACCCAAGAGCACAUACCAGCCUUAAAUGAUAGACCCUCAGGAAUAUGGAAAUUCUUUUAAGACCGGUGCAAGUCUUGAGAAAGAAAAUGCAACUUUUCCCAUAAGUCGAAGGCAACAGAAAUUGAAUAGGACUACUCUAACUAGUCAUUGUCCGCAAAAAUAAUACCUAAGUGUACA